UGGCCACAUCAAAUUGAAACACCAGUUCCCAUAUGAUCACCAAAGUUAAGCAACAUUGAGCCUGCUCAGUACCUAGAUGGGUGAUCAUUUGAGAAUACUGGCUGCUGUAA